AUUGAACGCUAGCGGGAUGCCUUACACAUGCAAGUCGAACGGCAGCGCGGACUUCGGUCUGGCGGCGAGUGGCGAACGGGUGAGUAAUGUAUCGGAACGUGCCCAGUAGCGGGGGAUAACUACUCGAAAGAGUAGCUAAUACCGCAUACGCCCUACGGGGAAAGGGGGGGAUCGCAAGACCUCUCACUAUUGGAGCGGCCGAUAUCGGAUUAGCUAGUUGGUGAGGUAAAGGCUCACCAAGGCGACGAUCCGUAGCUGGUUUGAGAGGACGACCAGCCACACUGGGACUGGGACACGGCCCAGAAUCCUACGGGAGGCAGCAGUGGGGAAUUUUGGACAAUGGGGGAAACCCUGAUCCAGCCAUGCCGCGUGUGCGAUGAAGGCCUUCGGGUUGUAAAGCACUUUUGGCAGGAAAGAAAUCGCAUCAAUUAAUACUUGGUGUGGAUGACGGUACCUGCAGAAUAAGCACCGGCUAACUACGUGCCAGCAGCCGCCGUAA
rnacentral:rRNA from 1 species